rnacentral:rRNA from 1 species
GACGAACGCUGGCGGCGUGCUUAACACAUGCAAGUCGAGCGAUGAAAUCCCUUCGGGGAUGGAUUAGCGGCGGACGGGUGAGUAACACGUGGGCAACCUGCCUCAAAGUGGGGGAUAGCCUUCCGAAAGGGAGAUUAAUACCGCAUAACAUUAGUUUUUCACAUGAAUUACUAAUUAAAGGAGUAAUCCGCUUUGAGAUGGGCCCGCGGCGCAUUAGCUAGUUGGUGAGGUAACGGCUCACCAAGGCCAC